AGUUCCAAUUAGUUUUUUUCUACAUGAAUAGGAAGUCCAUCCAUUAAUUAUUCUUUGCAGUAAUAUGCAAUAGCAUCUCAUACAUAAAUUUCCAUAUAUACUGAGAUCUAUUUCUUAGCUUUCUAUUCUAUUCCUCUAUUCUUCUAUUUGUCAACUUCUAUUUUAUUACCAUGAUGUUUUGAUGACAUUGGCUCUGGGUUUUAAUAUCUAUUAUGGCAGACUCCCCAUUUGUACUAUUUUUUAUAUGUUGGGGUCAUUUUAAUACUACUUAGAAUUUUAUUUAAUUUACAAAUUUGAAGAGAUAAUUAAUAUUUAACUAUAUUAAAUGUUCUAAACUAAGACUAUAGCAUGGCUUUUCAU
rnacentral:lncRNA from 10 species